AUGGUCUCGGAAUAUACCACCUGCUCUAGCGGGGCCAGGGUUCCUCAGAAAGCAGCCAUCGAAGUUAAGCUUAAUUGCACCUUCUGGAGGUCACUGCCAAUUGUUGGGUCUUUGGGCCUUCUGUGGUUGGAGAUACAGGACGUUUUCCCAGUGGCUGAGAAAAGUGUUAGCUGCAAUCCCAGAGAAGGCCCUGAGAAAAACCAGUGGCUCCGGAGACUCAGAAAGCUACUAGAUGCAAACCAGAGAAUAUUACAAGGUGAACCAUGGACAGUGCCAUGGACUGCAGAGACCAUCCUCCAGGUCAUGUUUUUGUGGAUUGCUUCCUUUUGGCUAGUUGGGUCAUGGAUUGUACCAUUCCUUGCCCAUGCAGCAGGUGUAAACAAAGAAGCUCUGACAUAUAGAGGCCAAGCCCUAUACAGUCUCUUAACCUACGUGGUUGAGGGCCUCACAGGGAUUGUCAUCCUCCAUCGAUGCCUUGCCAGGUUCAAGCCCCUGCCUGCUCAUUGGUUCUCCUUCACACUUAAAGGGAGUUGGCACAUUGACGUGGGCUUGGGUUGCCUCCUUUUCCCAUUUGUUAAUUGCCUCUCUCAAAUUAACCUCAAACUCCUUCCUCUUCCAAACCCAGUUUCAGCUUCUAGCGUUGAGAGAUCGAUAAUGGCUCGUGAUCCAGUGGCCAUGGCCCUUUAUUCCAUAAUGGUCUCGGUUUGUGCUCCAAUAUGGGAAGAGAUUAUAUUUCGAGGGUUUCUAUUGCCAUCUUUGACCCGAUACAUACCGGUUUGGUGCUUAGUGGCCGUGAGCUCAUUGGCCUUUGCAGUGGUUCACUUCAAUUUGCAGAGAUUGUUGCCACUUGUGUUUUUGGGGUUGGUGAUGGGGGCAGUUUUUGAGGUUGAGGAACCUCCUUGCAUCGAUGCUAUUGCAUAGCCUGUGGAAUGGGUUUGUGUUCUUGGAUCUGUUGAAAUAGUGUUAUGAUAAAAUUAUUUAAGAAAAUGAAGUUUUAGGUAGCGAAAUUGUUGUGCAUGCUAUAUUUCUUUUGUCUCAAAUGGAUUAGCCUUCUAAUGUAUUGUAUAGACCUAGUGAGCAUGGCUAUAAGGCUUGUCAAUGGGCUUGAUGAUCCAUUGGUCUUUUGAGGCCCAUCUCAAAAAGGCUAGGUACUGAACCAACCCUUGCUUGGAAGGCCAGGACAUCAAUGGGAGGUUCUGAAGUUGAGACUCCUAAAGCUUAGUAUGGUAGAGCCACGCUAAGUCUUCAGCGUAUGCAUUAAAUGGGUGGGUGGCUAUAAGAGUGUCUAGAAAGAGAUUGUUUACUUUUGUACAUAGAAGCCAUAAUU